rnacentral:rRNA from 1 species
GACGAACGCUGGCGGCGUGCUUAACACAUGCAAGUCGAACGGAAAGGCCCUGCUUUGGUGGGGUGCUCGAGUGGCGAACGGGUGAGUAACACGUGAGUAACCUGCCCUUCACUUUGGGAUAAGUUCAGGAAACUGGGGCUAAUACCGGAUAGGAGCGCCUGCUGCAUGGUGGGGGUGGGAGAGUUUCGGCGGGUGGGGAUGGACUCGCGGCUCAUCAGGUUGUUGGUGGGGUAGUGGCUUACCAAGGCGGUGACGGGUAGGCGGCCUGGGAGGGUCACCGGCCACAUUGGGACUGAGAUACGGCCCAGACUCCUACGGGAGGCAGCAGGGGGGAAUAUUGCACAAUGGGCGGAAGCCUGAUGCAGCAACGCCGCGUGCGGGAUGACGGCCUUCGGGUUGUAAACCGCUUUCGCCUGUGACGAAGCGUUAGUGACGGUAAUGGGUAGAGAAGCACCGGCUAACUACGUG